rnacentral:lncRNA from 1 species
GAAUGAGGCAAGUGACAUUAAUUCACCAGAUUACAAGGAGAUCCAGCAUUGAUUUAACAUCUCACCCCGCCAUCAAACAUACAAAUAUGUGCGAUGGGAGCUUCCCAAAGAUCACCAAGCCCAAUAUUCUAUCAUUUGAAUCAGGAGGCAAGCAGACAUUCUACACUCCAGUGGGUUGGACAGAUCUGGCAUGAGACAGAAGACUGUUAAUUGUCUAAAUUGUUACGUACUCUAAUGACCAUAGAAUGUUAACCAAUCCAUUAUUUCUUGUAGAUACUGCUCACUUAAAACUCUUCAUAUUAAACCUGCUGCUCUUUCCUUAUCAUCAGAAAAUUUGGACAGCCUAACUUUUGGGCUAUUGAUUUUCUGUAUUUUCCGUGGAUUAAUAGGGACUGCUUGGAGAUGUAGGUUUGCACUUGUAUCUUCAUGCAGUCUUUGUUGUAUUUUAAAAAGUUGUUGCUUAUGUGACUUGAUGGUUAUUUUGGGCUGCACUUGACAGAUUUUCGCUCGUAGUAAUCACUUCUGCCUACACUAGCACAUUGCCAUCUCUUCAUUAUCUGCUCUGUCAAAUUGAUAUCCCAGUGUUAAAAAAUAAACAUAAAAUUGUCUAAUUCCCUUUCCUCUGUCUUUUUAUCCAUGAUGCUUUUUUUAUUUUAUAUUUUCAUAGAAUCUCAAAGUUAUUAGUCUAUGAGCUUUAUUUCCCAUCCAAAUUAAGGCAUGAUUAAAGUGCCACUCUUUAGACUUCAGUAGUAAAGCUGUCCAGUUUGUGUUACCUAAAUUAUACUUCAGGAAACCACAACAAACACCUCCUUACAAAACAUCCAUGAGUCAAAGGAAAUGACUAACCUUUGCAAGAAUGAUUUCUGCACAUAAGAAAAGAUCCUAGCUCCUAGGUUACCAAGAACUAAUGUGGC